rnacentral:rRNA from 1 species
GAUGAACGCUGGCGGCGUGCCUAAUACAUGCAAGUCGAGCGAACAGACGAGGAGCUUGCUCCUCUGACGUUAGCGGCGGACGGGUGAGUAACACGUGGAUAACCUACCUAUAAGACUGGGAUAACUUCGGGAAACCGGAGCUAAUACCGGAUAAUAUAUUGAACCGCAUGGUUCAAUAGUGAAAGACGGUUUUGCUGUCACUUAUAGAUGGAUCCGCGCCGCAUUAGCUAGUUGGUAAGGUAACGGCUUACCAAGGCAACGAUGCGUAGCCGACCGGAGAGGGUGAUCGGCCACACGGGAACUGAGACACGGUCCAGACUCCUACGGGAGGCAGCAGUAGGGAAUCUUCCGCAAUGGGCGAAAGCCUGACGGAGCAACGCCGCGUGAGUGAUGAAGGUCUUCGGAUCGUAAAACUCUGUUAUUAGGGAAGAACAAAUGUGUAAGUAACUAUGCACGUCUUGACGGUACCUAAUCAGAAAGCCACGGCUAACUACGUG